ACAGGUUACCAGUAAAAAAAUUUUUUAGCUGUGAUGAAAUUGUCUGUCAGCAACAGCGGAAGAUUAUCCAUACAGUGACAAAUGUGGCCGGACUUUAUUUGGCAUACUGACCGCUUCUUUUCUGCAAAGAGAAGGAGCGAGAGUUUCAAAUCGCACCUCUUGCUCCCUCCAUGCGUUCAAAUCACCAUCUGGGAAAGCCUGAUAAGCUCAGAUGCAGACACCAGCAUUUGGGCGCCGACUUGAAGGGGCUGCCUUGAGAGAGCCGGCCCCCUGAAGCUCUGGAUGCAGCUUCAGCUGCACUGUCUUCUCUUCUUCUCUGUUGGGUCUGGAGUUUUUAGUGAGGUUUGUAGUGGUGUCCCUGCUCUGUUAUGACAUCCAGACCCUCUUUACUACGAUGUACACACUCCUCCUGGUUACCUUGUCUGCAAAUGCCAGAGCCGUUUUGUGCCUCAGGGAGUAUACAGGGAUCAAAUGGCAACAAUUCAGUCUUAUGAACCACUGGAGAGGCAGAAUGUCUCCAGAGGUCUCCCCAGAGCACGCUGCAUGCCAGGAUGAGGAGGUUCACUGAUCACUGAGCGAUGGAGGUCUCGAGGAUAAGAUCUGACUUUUUUCCCACUGAUACUGGCUGUCCCACUGACAGAGAAAACAGACAACAUGCUGCUGUUGAAGUGCCUGCAAAGUGAUGCGCCAGGAGGAGUCUCGAAGCAGACGUUUUGCCAAAAUAAAGACUAUGGGUACAAAUAGAAUACACUUUUGUAAUUGUGAAUGUAAUUAUCAGCACUGUUUGUUUUCAUGCAGUUGAACGUACCUGCAAAUGCGAGAGUGAAUAAAUGAUAAUGAGGCAUCAUUAUCAUCA